UGGCAGUGUCUCCUGCUCAGGCCAGCCCUGUGCGGUCAGGUGGGGUUCACACUGCACCCCUACUUUGCAGAGGGGACACUGAGUACCGCUUGUCCCCUCGUUCACUUACUGUGGUGGCUUCUCAGACAACAGGCAUCCUCAGGGCUCCUGACCAGGGGCCUUAAUUUCCGCAUCUCCCGGGAAUCACGGGUGGCUCUGCGUGUCUUGUUCAUGAGCCACCUGCGUUGGGCAGACUUCAUUUACUUCAGCUCUUAGCAGUGUGGAUCCUCUUUUCCCCAAAGUAUCUGUCAACUCAUUCAGGCCUCUGACUAGGGACCAUCUUGGCCUGUUGUGCUGAACCUCUGGUCUAAGUGGCUGGCUGGGGCCCAGUCACACCUUCAGGAAAAGGCAGGUCUCCUGAGGGAGCCCUAAUCAGGGCCAGGGCACUUCCAGGGACAGUGAGGCAGGAGGACCAGGGAAGGGGCUGGCCUGGGGCCCGGCUCUGCCUGUUAAGCCCCACAGUGCAGGCACCCGGGUCUCCCUGCCGCGUAGGAUUCCCGGAGAGCGGCCUCUGAGACUCGCUUCUCACCCAUUCCGAGCAGAACUCACUGUCUGGGAAGGAGACAGGAGGCAGCCAGUCUAGACCUGAAGCCCUGAGCUGUUCAAGAAGGGGCUUCCCUCACAAAGGAGGAAGGGGUCGUGCUCAGUCGUAGCCCUUCCUUGGCCCCAGGAUGGGGGUUCAGGAGGCAAGGAGAAGGCUGCGUUUAGUUGUGGGUAGAAAACCUUUCCCAGUUUCCUGCACAGUUACACACGUGACAUCGGACUCCUGGCUAUAUACAGCUUGCUCUCUCUCUGGUCUGGUGAUGGCCAAGGUAGUUUUUAAGAAAUCUAUUUAAAAUACCUAUCUGUAUCUAUUUACUGUUUUUUCUGGAUACACAAGUGUACAUAGUAUAAUUACAGUGCAGAGUCCCUGGCAAUAACGUCAUGUUGUGUAUUAUGUUAAAAAAAAUAACAUUGGAGAACGCGACCACCCUGGACUGUCCUCCCUCUCUGGGGCAGUGAUUACACGUAGGACUCCGAACUUUCAACCUGCGGCGUGGUUGAAGCAGCAGCCUGCACGUGUGGACUGUCACCAGUGCCUCACCCAGAGACGCCUGGCCUUCACCCAAAGGGACUCUGCACCCCGACUCCCACAGGAAGCGCCCACACUGCGGCUCCUGCGCACUGACUGUGUUGGACUCUGCCAUAGACUGACCCUCUUGUCUGGCUGCUGCAGCUUGUCUGUAAUGCCCUGACAUGUUGCAUUUUCCCCAUUUGGAUGAAUAAAAAUAAAAGCUUCUGUCUUCAACAGCAA